AACCUGUAAUUACACAGCCAUUGUGUUCAAGCUAAGCCAAGGAUUGACAGCAGCAGAGGCACAACCACGGUGAAGGCUGCGGGUGCAGGCACUCCGCUGGAGGGUGAGCUGGGAGCCAGCCAGGAGGAGGCAUUUGUGAGGACAGACUUGCAGCUGCUCUUCUGCUCCAUGCACUGAAGGUGACAGAGAGGAUAAGAAAGGGGAAAAAAGAAACAAAGGCCGCUCUACACUGACCAGUCCAACUGCUCUGAGACUCCAGGCCAUCUGCUGUAAAACACACACACACAUGCAAAUACACAGCGGACCAGAGCCAUUAAUGUAAAAUUGCUCCAUUGAGAGACACUCGGGAUAGAUAUUAUUAGCCGAUUAAUAAUUACCUAAUGAGUUUAUAAUAGGCCUGUGACUGGUACUAAAUGAAUUAGAUCUGCAUGUGAAUCUGGUCCGUUUGGGUUUUACUCUUUCAGCGUGAAUUAUUAACAGUUUAUCGUUAGCAUUAGCCCUUUAUACGGCACAUUCAUUCCACGUUACUGGGGAUUCACUUUCCAGAAAACAUCAGGGAUAUUGCCUUACACAACCACCCACCCACCCAGAUUUGUACUCGCAAGCAUGCUAAUGUACGCACACUAAUGGAUGUUUUAAGUGUCAGCACAUGACAUUUGCAAGGGCUUUCACAACACCCCAGAAGAGCAAAAAGACAGAGAGAGUCAUCCAACACUGAGCCGCCCAGCACAAGGCCGGUUAUGACAACCAUUUAGCCAGAAUUAGCUGGCAAAUUGACUAGGCUUUUACAUGUAGCUGUAUAUUACCCAAGGGGCAUUGUGAGGUUUUGAGAAGCCCUGGGCUAAAACUGACCAUGGGCUGCACCGUGGAUAUCAUGCCAGCCUAAAAGUGUU
ensembl:lncRNA